CCUACGGGUGGCAGCAGUGAGGAAUAUUGGUCAAUGGACGAGAGUCUGAACCAGCCAAGUAGCGUGAAGGAUGACUGCCCUAGGGGUUGUAAACUUCUUUUAUAAAGGAAAAAAACGAGGCACGUGAGCCAUUUGCAUGUACUUUAUGAAUAAGGAUCGGCUAACUCCGUGCCAGCAGCCGCGGUAAUACGGAGGAUCCUAGCGUUAUCCGGAUUGAUUGGGUUUAAAGGGAGCGUAGAUGGGUUGUUAAGUCAGUUGUGAAAGUUUGCGGCUCAACCGUAAAAUUGCAAUUGAUACUGGCAGUCUUGAGUACAGUUGAGGUAGGCGGAAUUCGUGGUGUAGCGGUGAAAUGCUUAGAUAUCACGAAGAACCCCGAUUGCGAAGGCAGCUUACUAAACUGUGACUGACAUUGAUGCUCGAAAGUGUGGGUAUCAAACAGGAUUAGAUACCCCAGUAGUC
rnacentral:rRNA from 1 species